CAAGCUUAUCUUUCAGAGUAAGUAACAUUGAGGUGGCUGAAUUCUGAGUAAUGGCCACCAUAGGGUGGUACCCAUUUUUAGAUGGCUGCUUUCCCACAAGGCAAAUGUCACUACUACAACUGGGGAAAAAUUACCUGGAGUUUCUGUUAUUUUUCAGACAAGGUUGAGGCAUCCCUCGUUUUGGUCAACAGUUCUUUGGUCAGUUAUUAGUAAAGCCUCAUUUUGACAUCUCAAGGUAGAUUUGGGUGCUUUGGUAGAUUUUAUAUACAAUAAAUCAGGGUUAUCAUUUCAGUGAUAACCGUGAUGCUUCUGUGCUUUGACUGAUCUCAGUAUUGAACCAGAUAGACUCUGAGUGGAGGAAAAAACAUCUAUAAGGUGUUUUAUAGUGUGACAUUGAUUUGGGCUAUUAAAAAUCUUCAGCCUUAUCUAUAUAGAGUUGACCUUUUACUGCCAUAACCAAAACACACUUGCUUGACUGUUUCAGAUAACAGGUGACAAAUGGAGACUCUUGCAAUGACUCCUAUAACUUUAGCCUAAUUUAGUACUGGCUGGGGAAGAGUAACAGUAGUGCCAACAGGUUUUUCUGACAAACGGAGAACUCAACUAAAUUUUGGGACUUUGUCUUCCUGACCAUUGACCAGAUCUCACUGACAUGAGGGAACUAGUGUGAGG